UUAUACAAUAUUCAUUAGUCAUUUAUUUGGACUAAAAGUAUUCAAUAAAUAAUUCUACUAGAAAUAAACUUUUAAAAACAUAGUUUAAAAGCAUAUAAAACGCAACAAUUAACAAAUGAUUAUUAACAAAUUAUAUAACAAAUAUUAUAAGCGUUAUUAACAAAUGGUUAAAAUAGAAUUAAUCAAGUUAACUUUGUACAUUUAAAUAAACUCUAUAAUCGUAAACAAUAAUUUCACAUCGUACUAUUUAAAAAAAUUUUUUUUAAUAUCUAAAAAUAAUCCUAAAAAAAUUUUUUCCAGAUUUUUAAUAAAAAUUUACAUUAUUAGGUAGGAUAGAUUAAGGCAAAUCGGAUUACAGAAUAAAUCUGAAUAAAUAAAGAUUAAGAACAUAUUCGUUAUAUUCUGGUUGAAGUUUUUAUUCUGGCACGCGAGUUACUUCAUCCCUUUUCCGCAGCAUUUCAAAUCAUAAACCUAGAAACCUUAUCAAUCCAACAAUCUUGAAUUGAUUCUCUUCGGUCUAUACUACAUUAUUAAGAUACAAAUAAUUGUGCUAAUAUUAUAAAAAAAUACAAAUUUUAAUUUUAAAAAAGUAAAAUAAAUCAACUUUCAGGCAUAUUAAUGCCAAUAUUAAAGCAUUUGAAUAGUAUUACAAUAAUUAUGAUUAUCACUAAAGUUAAUAUUACAUAAACUAAAAGGCGUAUAAUGAGAUAAUACAUUCCUAUUAGUAAUCUCCAUAAUUAACAACCUUAAUACUUUGGUUUUGUUAUUUCGAUUUAUCCUAAUCCGGUUACUCAGUUUCAGCACUACAUGCAAAACAGUUUAAAUGAGGCAAAUUGCGGAGAAACGUGAACACUAAUAGUAAUCUAAAGCCGCGGCUGACCUCGCAAUAUUAAUUUGACAUCGCAGUAUUAAUUUGAGUUCGCAGGAAUUCUUAAUAAAAUAUAAUUAUUUCUACGUCAUUGCCACACGAACGGUUCACCAUACCGCGAGCCUGAUCAUCCCAUUGGGCCUAAAAAGUAAUUGAACGCAGACGACAGGAAAUAAAAUUGACCUUAUUGACCGCUCGAACAAUGAUGAAUUUGUUCGCACUUAUUUCUAAUAUCAUUCUCGUUGGGGCCAAAAAGAAAGCAACUUACGAGAAAUACAAAUAUAAUAAAGCGAUUGUUUCGCGAAAGCCGUACAUGCGACCGUUAAUUACACCAUGACAAUCGGCCGGAUAAACGGCGGCGCUUUCAGCGUACCCAGCAGCAACAACGGCCGAAUCAUUCAAAUGACUCGCAGAUUUUAAUGAACAUAAUGUACACUUCCGCUGCGGGGAUAGGGAGUAAAAUCAGCGAUGUAGUUUUCGAACUUCUACCGUACUUCUACAGUCGCAGCUGUGGAGGGGAUAUAGAACUUAUAAGGGCAAGAAUCAAUCGUAUUAAAGAAUCAAUGAGUGCUCAGUGAUUCUUUCGUAAAACUGGUUAAACGGUAUACGAGUUUCAUUUGUAAUUAGAAAUAAGCUUUUAACAGUUUGAUAACUAUAUUCACGUUCAACAAAUCGAAAACAAUUUUCGUGCACUUCUUUUGUUGAAAAGUACAUAACUUGGUGCUCUUCAUAUUAAUUAAAUUAAUUACUUUUCUCAAAAAAUAUAUUGCAACACAAUUUAAAAAAAUUUUUUUAUUUUUUAAGUUUGGUUUCUUUUCGAAAUCAAUAUUGCAAUUGCGUUGCUUGUACGGAGCAACGACGUCAUCAUGCGUAAAAGCAAUCAACCGAGUAAAAUUAAAUUCGCGAACAAAAUAUCGAAAUCUUAAAUUUAGACACGCAGUAUGCGUUCAUCAACUAAUCGAUCAAAGUAUUCGAGCAGCAGAUAAUUCGUUAGACGAAAUAACAAAAAAGUAAUCACGGAUGAAUAUCAGUUAUGAAGCAAACACAGUAAAAGGACACUCAUCUAAAAGAGCGAUUAGGUAGCAGAGACGCAUCCCAGGGAAUCACGUGGGCGAUUGCGAUGGGUGACAUAUGAGCGCGAUGACGAUGAGUGUACGCUGAUGAACGCAACGUAAAUCUAACUGGACUCUCGGAUAACACCGAGAUUAUACUAGCUGUCGCAUGAGAUUUAGUGUGUAUACCGACCAGGUGAUAGUGAUCAUAAUAUGCAACGUAGACUAUCGGUAAACCAACCGACUAGUCUGAUUAUUAACGCAUUCGAAGGAUACAACGUGUAUUUAUUAUCCUUUUUAAUCAAUUAAUUCAUGUGGAUUAUUUUCUUUUAGAAAUAAUCUAAUGCAUUUAUUUAUCUAUACUGAAUGAUCGUAAUUCAAGCGAACGUUGCAGUGAUUCACUCGUUGACUGAUAAAUGGGCACUUUUAUCUGACUGAUAUUGAUAUGUAUUGACUGAUAAAUGUAUAAAUUGCUAUUACGAAUAAAAUUGCAUUUUCUGAGACAAAUUAAAACGAUGAAAAAUUAGAAGGUAAUAAAUAUUACUAGAUCUAUAUUUUUCACCAAUUGAGACUUCUUGCACUUUUUCUUUCGUUUUUUUUUUUUUCUCCAAACCAAUACAUUUUUUUCACAUUAAAUGUAUCACACAUUAAAAAGUAUGACAAAACUCACGUAAAAGAAACUUCAAAAUUUGAUAACAUUUGUUAUCUAAUAAUUAAUAUUCGUCAUAUAAUUAGAAUUUAAAAUAAAUGAGUAAGAUAUUGCAUUUCCGUUGCUAAUAUAAAUGCACAAUGCCGUCAUUAUACACUAGCCAAAACGAUCAAUUGAGUAAAAUUAUAUUCGCGCGAACAAGACACGGUCCAAAUCUUAAAUUAGACACACAGUUUAUAUGUUUAUCAACUAUCGACUAAAGUAUUCGGUCAGCAGGUAAGCUACCGCUAUUGUUAUAUUGCACCUUUCUUACAUACGCUCAAAAUAAGUCAUGGUUAGUCACUCGUACACAAGAAUUCUUAGAAGUUAUACUUUCAUACGAUAGAAAGAAGCCUGCAGCAAAAUGGAGUUGAUUGAUUUAAAAUAUAUCAUUUUUAGUUUGAAAGUAUAAUAAAAAAAAAUUUAUUUUUAAGAGAGCCAAUUUUUAUCGGUAUUAAAAUUAAUAACACUAAAUUUGAAUUAAACGUUACAAAAACAAUGAAUAAGCCAAUCUUUUUAUUAGCUUAUGGACUAAAGUUUUAUUGAACGUAAUUAUGUCUUUAGAAAUUUAGGGAGGAGAAAAACAAAAUAAAAACAAAUUUUAUUGUAUUAAAUUCAUCAAUUUUGAA